rnacentral:rRNA from 1 species
AUUGCCCUAGUAACGGCGAGUGAAGCGGCAGAGCUCAAAUUUGAAAGCUGGCUCCUUCGGGGUCCGCAUUGUAAUUUGCAGAGGAUGCUUCGGGAGCGGUCCCCAUCUAAGUGCCCUGGAACGGGCCGUCAUAGAGGGUGAGAAUCCCGUCUGGGAUGGGGUGCCCGCGCCCGUGUGAAGCUCCUUCGACGAGUCGAGUUGUUUGGGAAUGCAGCUCUAAUUGGGUGGUAAAUUUCAUCUAAAGCUAAAUAUUGGCCGGAGACCGAUAGCGCACAAGUAGAGUGAUCGAAAGAUGAAAAGCACUUUGAAAAGAGAGUUAAACAGCACGUGAAAUUGUUGAAAGGGAAGCGCUUGCGAUCAGACUCGCCCGCGGGGUUCAGCCGGCAUUCGUGCCGGUGUACUUCCCCGCGGGCGGGCCAGCGUCGGUUUGGGCGGCCGGUCAAAGGCCCCUGGAAUGUAACGCCUCUCGGGGCGUCUUAUAGCCAGGGGUGCCAUGCGGCCUGCCCGGACCGAGGAACGCGCUUCGGCUCGGACGCUGGCAUAAUGGUCGUAAGCGACCCGUCUUGAAACACGGACCAAGGAGUCUAACAUCUACGCGAGUGUUCGGGUGUCAAACCCGUGCGCGCAGUGAAAGCGAACGGAGGUGGGAACCCUUUGGGUGCACCAUCGACCGAUCCUGAUGUCUUCGGAUGGAUUUGAGUAAGAGCGUAGCUGUUGGGACCCGAAAGAUGGUGAACUAUGCCUGAAUAGGGCGAAGCCAGAGGAAACUCUGGUGGAGGCUCGCAGCGGUUCUGACGUGCAAAUCGAUCGUCAAAUUUGGGUAUAGGGGCGAAAGACUAAUCGAACCAUCUAGUAGCUGGUUCCUGCCGAAGU